GGUCAGCGUCACAGGUUCUAACCAAGAGUGGGGACCAAAGUGUUUUCAUAGUAAAGUCGAAGUCAGUGUAGAGCCAACAUCUGAAUUUUGUAUCUUGCACUUCAGAAACAUCUACUGGAUAGGCUGCCUGAAAAAGGUUUGGUUUAUGGGAAGUUGUUUGGCAUUACAAGACAUACAACAAAGAGUGAUAUUAUCAGUUUGCUAGAAGGGUGUAACGUGAAUUUGGAUGAUAUGAAAGUUGACUACAAUAGAACCUAUAUGCCAACUGGAAUGAUGAUUCAGUUUCCUUCUCGGUAUGCCUAUGAUGCUGCUAUUAGGGCAAUUAAUCGGAAGGCUCGCUUAUAUAAACUGGAGAGGGUAAUAUUGAUAUAAAUGCAUUUUCCACUACAAGGUUGUUCAUCUUGUAGUC